rnacentral:pre_miRNA from 12 species
UUGUCACUCUGCGUGUUCACAGCGGACCUUGAUUUAAUGUCCAUACAAUUAAGGCACGCGGUGAAUGCCAAGAGAGGAAUC